rnacentral:lncRNA from 1 species
GGAAAGAUUAAUCUCACUGGAAUAAUGGUCAAACCUGGAGCACAACACAGUUUGAACAAUGCAGGCAACACCAAAGUGCCAGAAGCAAAGAGUCCUUGGAAGUCACAAUUCUUUUACAGUAAUAACUCUCCAGGUAGUGAUGUAGUGUGAUAUUUAAAAGCAAAGCACUUAGAGCUAUUUAUGAGGCUAAGGAACACAGUUUGUCCCAGAUACACCAAAUCUGACAAAAAGGACAAGCUCUUUUAAAUAAUCAAGGAGACAAUACAGCGCAUGGUGAAGGAGACAUUUGAAAAAGGAGCUGAAGAAUUUGGAGAAAGAAAAUCGCCUCAUUUGUCAAGAUAAUUUUAAAGUAAAAUGGAGGUAAGUAACUGUGUCAGUGACAACCUGGUUAGACUUUACAGGCUAAGAACCAAUGUAUGAAUGGAAAUGUGCUUGCUCCUAGUGAAUGUUGCUGUCAAGGGCCCUAUCCUAUUGGUAUUUAACAUUUUUUUUUCUGUCAUAAAGCCCUUUAGCAGUCUGGUGAAACCUAUGUACUGUUUCUA